GUUUUACCUUGACGAAUUGUAGUUUAAAGAAGUGUUUUCUGUUGAAGUUUUGGUAAAAGUUCUUUGGAGUAGGACAUCAUAGAGGGUGAGAAUCCCGUAUUUGACCAUUAUUUUCAGCUGUGUGAUACACUUUCAAAGAGUCGGAUUGUUUGGGAAUGCAGUCCAAAAUGGGUGGUAAAUUUCAUCUAAAGCUAAAUAUUGGCGAGAGACCGAUAGCGAACAAGUACCGUGAGGGAAAGAUGAAAAGAACUUUGAAAAGAGAGUUAAACAGUACGUGAAAUUGUCAAAAGGGAAGCGUUUGACACCAGUGUUGUUUUCUCGAAAAUCAAUUAAAAAAAGUUGGAUUUUGUGUUGUAUUGACCUUAACAGCUUUCUGCACUCUUUUCCUGCUUUUUUU
rnacentral:rRNA from 1 species